AUUGAUAUAUACAUUACCUUCUUAAUUCAGUGCCACUGUCUAUUUAGAUUUUAGAUUGAUAUUGUUAGGAUAUAGAAAUAGUGAUAAUUAGGAGUUUGUUUGAAGUUGUGUUCCUAGGUUGUUAUUAGUUAUAUAGGUGUAACUGUUCUGGUGUUUCUGUUAUUAGUUGGUUACCUUGGACCUAAUCCCUAUCCUAAUGUAUUGGAAGUCUUUAAAUAGAGACUUUCACCCCUUUAGAAAUCAUCUUUUGCAAAAUUAGAAAUUGAGUGGUGUAAACUAUUGUAGGAGCGUAUCCGCUCUCGUGUAUCUUUUUAUUUGGAGAGAUUCUCUCCUAUUAUUUCUUUCUCUUUUCUAAAUAUUAGUGUUCUUCCUCUAAAUUCUUGGAAUUCACUUCUUGAGUUCAUAACAGAUAUGGUGCUGUGCAUUAUGAUGUGGUGUCAAAAUUAACCCAAGGAUCCAAGUACUAGCUUAAUAUUACUAGUACAAAGCCCAAACCCACUAGCUACAGUAAGAGUAUUAACCCUUAUUACAUAAGAAAAAAAUUAGGAAAAUAUAAUGAAGUUAAGAAACAUCUCCUUAGAUUUCUUUCUCAAUUAGAUGACAAUCUGAUUUCACAAUACAUACUGAGACAAUCUAAAGCUAAUCUAAAUAUAUUCUAACAGAACUUAUGUUUUAUUUUGCAUGCGAAAGGUUUCAUAGACCCCUUGCAGCCUCACCAAUGACAAAACAGGAAAGGGAUCUUCUUUGUUUAUUCGUAUUAAUUCUUUCAAGGGCCAACUCACCUAAAAACUUUAGCGAUUAGAUGAGGCUGAGGUUCAAUUAAAAGUUAUUUAAUGUAAAAAUUCUUCUUAGAUUUUGAGCUUUAGGCUUAACUCCUCCCCACAAAAUUGACUUGUAAGGUGAGGACCACCCAACAAUUAAAAGCACUAUCUAGGUCAUAUCUCUAAUCAAUGGAGGAUUUUCAAUACAUGUACACUUAGGACUAAACAUUUGAAGUGUGGAUUAUUGUGAGUGGAAUAACAAGGAUCUAUCACACCCUUUCGCACAAAGGUUUGCACAUCUGGAGCGUGAGCAAAUGUGCGUGGAAUAAUAGAGAUCUUGGACCAAUAACAAAUUUAGGAUGAACUCUGAUAACAACUUAGAAUUGGACUCCAGGACUAACUCAUCCUCAUAAAACCGAUUUGUAAGGUGAGAAUUGCCCAAACUUCAUUAGCAUCGCUUAGGUCUUAUCUCUAGUCGAUGUGAGACUCAACAAUUCUUUUUAACCAAACAAAAAAAAAAGACUUCCUCUGGGAACCGAAGUUUUUUCUUUCUUUGUGUGUAUAUAUAUUUAUAUAUAUAUAAAUAUAUUAUGAGUGUUAUAAGAACAAUGACUUUUGUGAGUACCUAGGUAGUUAAUCCCAGCGUUUCCCGGCGAGAUCCCGCUGUCCCGGUGCGGUACAUUGCCUCACCGCGACGGCGUGUCCGCGAUAGCGUGAAACAAGAUCCCGACGAGAUCGAGGCGAGAUCCCGUUAUCCCGGCGUAGUUAAUCCUAACGUUUCCCAGCGAAAUCCGGCUAUUAUUUCUUCCUUCUGUGUUUUAUUGUUUCUACUUUCACCUAAAAAGAAGAAGUAGAAUAUGCUAAUGAAGAUGAUGCUUAUCUUUGAUUCCUAUGCUAGAACAUGCAUGUGAGUUUUAAUAUUUAGUUAUUUUAUUAGUGUGUUAAAGACUUCAAUAUGGAUCAUCUUUAUUUCCUUGACUUUUGUUUGUAUUUCAAUGUAUGACUAAGAGUAAGACUUGUAAAUUCUUAUUACUAGUUAUGAAUGUUUCAGAGUUUGAGUCAUUUGUUAAUUUUGCAUUAAAUAUAGGUUUAUAUAAUAUUAUUCAUGUAAUUUGUUCAAAAAAAUAGCAACUAUCCCGCCUAUCCCGGAACGUGUUAUCCCGCUAUCCCACUUUUGGGGUUGGCCGCGACGCACCGCUAUCUGGGAUUAACUACCUAGGUGGUCGUUGACAAUAGAUGUUUAUAAUUAGUUGAGCUGAAGGUACAGUGCACAUGAGAAGGCUUAAGUUUUUGUCGCUUAACAGAACAUAUUAACUGCGGUGGUUACAGCGAGCCAAAUGAAAUUCAGUAUAUUCUUGAAUAUGGCUCUGAUUACAAAGUCUAUUAUAUGUGGAAGUAUUGUUCCGAAAAUUUUCAGACGAUGGACCACAAUAACAAUGGUACUGUCAAUCAGGUGAAGUUUCGUAAUGGAAGCUGAUCAUAUUUCAGCACACUAUUAAAUUUAUCUAGUUUGUAAAGUUCUUUUGAAUAUUCAGCUGUACAUGCCAUUUUUUACUUUGAGCGUUACAAUGUUGUUCAAUAACCUCUACUCAUUCAUGGAUCAUUGCACAUGUCGUUUGAGUUUUUUGGUGGUGUCCCGGAUCGUGAUGUGCUAUAAUAAUUAUUCCAUCUCAUUAUAUUGUCAUUAAUUAAUCUAAUGAUAAU